AAACAGUUGAGGAGUCCCACAAUAGGACGAAACGACCGUCUAGUGU
rfam:Schistosoma margrebowiei strain Zambia genome assembly, scaffold: SMRZ_contig0003667